ACGUAGGGUGCGAGCGUUAAUCGGAAUCACUGGGUUUAAAGGGUGCGUAGGCUGUGGCGUAAGUCAGUUGUGAAAUUCCCCGGCUUAACCGGCGGGACUGCGAUUGAUACUGCGUCACUUGAAUCAGGAUGAGGUAGGCGGAAUGUGACAUGUAGCGGUGAAAUGCUUAGAUAUGUCAUAGAACACCGAUUGCGAAGGCAGCUUGCUGGACCUGUAUUGACGCUGAGGCACGAAAGCGUGGGGAGCAAACAGGAUUAGAUACCCUGGUAGUCCACGCCCUAAACGAUGUUUACUUGCUGUGCGGUCUUCGGAUUGCGUGGCGAAGCGAAAGCGAUAAGUGAACCACCUGGGGAGUACGCCGGCAACGGUG
rnacentral:rRNA from 1 species